CUCAGCCUCAAAUCCAUCUCCAAGACCAAGUAAAACUGCAGGCUUAUAUAGCAGGGAAGAUGUGUAAGAAAUGUAUAAGAAAACAGCAACUGGGGAGGGGCAAGGAAGCCAUUAUGAGGAAUGAGAGGCCUGGCAUCUCAUCGUCUGGAUGUAGUGAUCUGGGUCUCACUCACUUGCGCAGCCAUGGAGUGCGGUGGCACAGCCAUGGCUCACUGCAGCCUUGAACUCCUCACCUCAAGAGAUCAUCUUGCCUCAGCCUCCUGAGUAGCCAGGACCACGGGCACAUCCCACCCCACCUGGUUAAUUGUAAAAUAAGUUUUUGUGGAGAAGGAAUUGCCUAUGUUGCCCAAGCAGGUCUCAAAUUCCUGGCUUCAAGUGAUUAUCCUGCCUCUGCCUUCUAAAGCACUGGAAUCACUGGCAUGGUCACACUUUUUAAGAAAUAAACAUGAUUCAUAUGAAAGUAGGGAGUUUUCAGCAGAUGGAAGCACCAUUCUUGACAACAACAUAGAGAUGGGAAUUAGGAAAGGAAUGGAUGAGAAAAGGUGAAGGCGAGAACCACUAGGAUAGCAGAUCAAGGUGGAUGAGCAACAGGGAGGAGCCUGGGCAGAUUAAACAGGUCCAGAUAAUUGAGCAUAUUGAAAGACCCGCA
rnacentral:lncRNA from 1 species